rnacentral:tRNA from 1 species
GCAGGUAGAGCUCAGUGGCGGAGCAUGUGCUUAGCAUGCGUGAGGUCCUGGGUUUAAUCCCCAGCACCUCCA